GGGUUGUGAGGUUAAGCGACUAAGCGUACACGGUGGAUGCCCUGGCAGUCAGAGGCGAUGAAGGACGUGCUAAUCUGCGAUAAGCGUCGGUAAGGUGAUAUGAACCGUUAUAACCGGCGAUUUCCGAAUGGGGAAACCCAGUGUGAUUCGUCACACUAUCAUUAACUGAAUCCAUAGGUUAAUGAGGCGAACCGGGGGAACUGAAACAUCUAAGUACCCCGAGGAAAAGAAAUCA
rnacentral:rRNA from 2 species